CAGUGACCCCUACGUGAAACUCUCCCUUUAUGUAGCUGAUGAGAACAGAGAACUUGCCUUAGUUCAAACGAAAACAAUUAAAAAGACCCUUAAUCCAAAGUGGAAUGAAGAAUUCUAUUUCAGAGUAAAUCCACACAAUCAUCGGCUUCUCUUUGAAGUGUUUGAUGAAAACAGACUGGUGAGUAGUGAG